rnacentral:rRNA from 1 species
GACGAACGCUGGCGGCGUGCUUAACACAUGCAAGUCGAACGGAAAGGCCCCUUUGGGGGUACUCGAGUGGCGCACGGGUGAGUAACACGUGAGUAACCUGCCCUUGACUUCGGGAUAACUUCAGGAAACUGGGGCUAAUACCGGAUAGGAAUCCUUGCUGCAUGGUGGGGGUUGGAAAGCUUCGGCGGUUUUGGAUGGACUCGCGGCUUAUCAGCUUGUUGGUGGGGUAGUGGCUUACCAAGGCUUUGACGGGUAGCCGGCCUGAGAGGGCGACCGGCCACAUUGGGACUGAGAUACGGCCCAGACGCCUACGGGAGGCAGCAGUGGGGAAUAUUGCACAAUGGGCGGAAGCCUGAUGCAGCAACGCCGCGUGCGGGAGGACGGCCUUCGGGUUGUAAACCGCUUUCAGCAGGGGCGAAGCUUGUGGUGACGGUACCUGCAGAAGAAGCACCGGCUAACUACGUG